CGAAUGUCGAUUGUUUCAAGUCUGUAAUGUGUCAUUGUUUCUAGAUAUUUUCGACGUAAACUUACAAGCUGUCUUCCGUUAAUUUGUCAGAUGUCGAUGACGUAAUGUAUUUUAAUCAUCUGCUAAUUGCUGAAGGCCCGUUUUACUACAUUUUACAAGUAGGGCAUAUUAUUUGAAAGACUUCUGUCAAAUCUAACUUGUGUAGUA